CCUCCUUUAGACAUUCCACCUUUUAAAGGUGAUGGAGGCUACGGCCCAGGCCCUUUCGGUGGGAAUGGGCCUCCAAAAGGCGGUGGUAAAGGUCCCAUAGAUGUCCCUCCUGUUAAAGGUGGUGACGGAGGUUACGGUGGUAAAGGCCCUAUUGACGUCCCUCCUGUUAAAGGUGGUGAUGGAGGUUAUGGUGGUGACGGUGGUAAAGGCCCUAUUGUUGGUCCUCCUAUUAAAGGUAGUGAUGGCGGUUAUCCCGGUGACGGUGGUGACGUUCCUAUUAAGGGUCCUCCUGAUGGAGGUUAUCCCGGUGACGGUGGUGACGUUCCUAUUAAGGGACCACCUGAUGGAGGUUAUCCCGGUGACGGUGGUAACGUUCCUAUUAAAGGUCCACCUUAUGGAGGUUAUCCCGGUGACGGUGGUGAUGGAGGUUAUGGGGAUUAUGGCGGUUAUGGUGGUAAAGGACCUAUUGAUGUCCCUCCUGUUAAAGGUGGUGGUGGUAAAGGCCCUAUAGACGGUCCUCCUAUUAAAGGUGAUGACGUCAGCUAUUAUGGUAAAAGCUCUUUGACCGGUACUGAACCUCCUAAACGUUAUAAAGGCCAUGGCUUAAAAGGA
rnacentral:lncRNA from 1 species